AAACCAGAGCUGUAAACUGCCACUGGCCAGGAAUCUGUUGGAUAGAAGAAGCUCUAAACUGCCAUUUGUCAAGGGUCAGUUGGUUAGAAGAAGCUUUGAACUGCUAUUGGUCAGGGAUCGGUUGGCUAGAAAAGGCUGUGAACUGUCACAGGUUAAGAAUCAGAUGGUUAGAAGUCGUCAACUCACAUUAAUCAAGAGAUAGCCAUACGUACUUGAAGCGCAGUUUUUCUAGAAUCACAUGUCUUCGCGAGGUGCUUUGAAUGAAAGAAAGCUGUGGUGGGGAAUUCCAACAAUCUCCUUCCACCUAGCUGGGAUGGGUGCUGCUCUGAGUGUGGAGUUCCUAAUUACUUGCUAGAGGAGAAAAAAAGGGAAAGUAAAAGAGAG